GCCAUUUUCAUUUGAACAUGAUUUAAGCAUUCUUAUAAGUGACUAUAGUAGAGUAAGAAAAGUGAUUCUUUAUAACAUGUCGCACAUAAAUCUAUAUUAAGGUGAUCGGUUACACGUUUUGCCACCGCUGACCGAUGUCGCAUUUUUGAAAUUCUUUUUGUCCUGAUUUUGAGAAGCUAGUAUUUCUAGUUUUAUUGUAAGCGCA
rnacentral:lncRNA from 1 species